rnacentral:rRNA from 1 species
AUUGCAGGCUGCAACCCGCCUGCAUGAAGUCGGAAUUGCUAGUAAUCGCGGAUCAGCAUGCCGCGGUGAAUACGUUCCCGGGCCUUGUACACACCGCCCGUCACACCAUGAGAGCCGGGGGGACCCGAAGUCCGUAGCCUAACCGCAAGGGGGGCGCGGCCGAAGGUAAAACUGGUGAUUGGGGUGAAGUCGUAACAAGGUAUC